GGUACGGGAAAAAGCCUUUCCUGGCACCUCUGCAGUCUCGCGAGAAACACAGGGGCGGAAGUGGACAGAAAUAACUUCCGGCGAUGAGACGCGCACAGAGAUGACGUCACGCGCCUGGACCCGCCUCUCCUUCGCGGCUGCGCGAAGCCUUUCACAGCCUGACGCUGGGUCCCGGCAGGGGGCAGCAGGAGACCGCGAUGAAACACUGAAACCCUCAGAGUAGAAGCCAGCAAGAAAAUGCAUGUCUUAUACCUGCUUCAUCAAAUGGGGGGAUAUGGUGAAAAUCAAGACAAAGCCGUGCCCCCCUGGACUUUAUUUACAAGGUAGGUCUCAUUCUCAUCAUGAAUGUCUGCUCAUCUACAUGCUUUCCCAAGACCACAGGUGACCCAAGGCUCUACUGCUGCUGCUGCUGUUGCUGCUAAGUCUCUUCAGUCGUGUCCGACUCUGUGC